rnacentral:rRNA from 1 species
GAACUGGAGAGUUUGAUCCUGGCUCAGAACGAACGCUGGCGGCGUGCUUAACACAUGCAAGUCGAACGCGAAAGGGGCUUCGGUCCUGAGUAGAGUGGCGCACGGGUGAGUAACGCGUAGAUAACCUGUCUUUAUGUCUGGGAUAACUCGCCGAAAGGCGGACUAAUACCGGAUAUUCUUCCUUUUUAGAAGGAUUGGAAGCAAAGGUGGCCUCUGACAUAAGCUACUGCAUGAAGAGGGGUCUGCGUACCAUUAGCUAGUAGGUGGGGUAAUGGCCUACCUAGGCGACGAUGGUUAGCGGGUCUGAGAGGAUGAUCCGCCACACUGGCACUGGAACACGGGCCAGACUCCUACGGGAGGCAGCAGUGAGGAAUAUUGCGCAAUGGGGGCAACCCUGACGCAGCGACGCCGCGUGAGUGAGGAAGGCUUUCGGGUCGUAAAGCUCUGUCAAGAGGAAAGAAGUGCAUGGUAGCUAAUACCUGCCAUGUUUGACGGUACCUCUAAAGGAAGCACCGGCUAACUCCGUGCCAGCAGCCGCGGUAAUACGGAGGGUGCAAGCGUUGUUCGGAAUCACUGGGCGUAAAGGGCGCGCAGGCGGUUUGGUAAGUCAGAUGUGAAAGCCCACGGCUUAACCGUGGAAGUGCAUUUGAAACUGUCAGACUUGAGUACCAGAGGGGAAAGUGGAAUUCCCGGUGUAGAGGUGAAAUUCGUAGAUAUCGGGAGGAAUACCGGUGGCGAAGGCGACUUUCUGGCUGAGUACUGACGCUGAGGCGCGAAAGCGUGGGGAGCAAACAGGAUUAGAUACCCUGGUAGUCCACGCCGUAAACGAUGUCAACUAGAUGUAGGGGGUGUUGAUCCCCUCUGUGUCGCAGCUAACGCAUUAAGUUGACCGCCUGGGGAGUACGGUCGCAAGAUUAAAACUCAAAGGAAUUGACGGGGGCCCGCACAAGCGGUGGAGUAUGUGGUUUAAUUCGAUGCAACGCGAAGAACCUUACCUGGUCUUGACAUCCCGGGAAUCUUUCGGAAACGAGAGAGUGCCUUCAUUAGAAGGAACCUGGAUCCAGGAUAGGUGCUGCAUGGCUGUCGUCAGCUCGUGCCGUGAGAUGUUGGGUUAAGUCCCGCAACGAGCGCAACCCCUAUCCUUAGUUGCCAUCAUAUAAAGGUGGGCACCUAGGGGAGACUGCCGGAAGCUAACUGGAGGAUGACACGUCAUCAUCAUGGCCCUUGGAGCGCCUAGGGCUACACAGUACUACAAUGGUGGGUACAAAGGGCAGCAAAGCGAGGCCAAAGCGAAUCUCAAAACCCCAUCAUAUCCGGAUUGCAGUCUGCAACCUCGACUGCAGGCUGAAGUUGGAAUCGCUAGUAAUCCUGGAUCAGCAUGCCAGGGUGAAUACGUUCCUGGCCUUGUACACACCGCCCGUCACACCACGAAAGUCGGUUCCCACCCAAAGUCGCUGACUAACCUUCGGGAGGUAGGCGCUACGGUAGGGCUGGUAAUUGGGGUGAAGUCGUAACUAAGGUAGCCGUAGGGGAACCCAGCAGGCGGCUGGAUCACCUCCUUA